rnacentral:lncRNA from 1 species
AAACAUUUAAUUGUGUGAGCUUGAAUAUUAUUUUAAAGUGCUAUUGUAAUCCAAAUGUGAUAGUGGAUAAUGAAUAUUUUGAACCAAAUAUUAUAGGUUUUAUUUUAAUUAUUAUUGAAAUCCAAAGUAAACAUAGUGAUCCCCUAUAGGGGAUUCGGUUGCAACAAGAUAAGUGAAGACAUCUUUAUUCCUUCUUGGUUAUCAUCACAAACCAAUAAAUACUUAGAAACCGAGAUUAAAACCGAAGAGAAAUAUAAGUGUGUUUAUAGAGUUUCUUCAUAAUCCUUAAACAAAUCUAUGUCGUCUAUUUAGUGAGUAUCAACGCUCAAGACACCCUCAUUAGUGAUACACAUAAAACCUAAAAGAUAUUCACAUUAUAAAAGCAUUAUGAAUAUAAAAAAUUGAUCAUGAAAGCAUUUGUCAUAAAAUUAUUGAAACUUAUUUGUUUUAUAUUAGAAACAUUGAAACAUUGUUUUCUAUUAUGGAUUGAAAUACAGGAAAAAUAUUUGGGUUUAAGGAUCAAAUAUUUGGGUUUAACGUUUAUAUUCUUAAAUAAUCAUAUAACAAAAUAUUUAUUUUAUUUAUCUAACCCUUUUUUAUUUUAUAUCCGAAAAAAUGCAUAAAAGAUCCAAUAUUUGAUAUUCCCAAAGAUUCAAUGAAAUGAUGAUCCAACAUUUGUUCUUCACCUACAGUGAUGACGAUGAAUCAAAUUCAAAAUUUAUUAUAUACUUUUACUUUAAUAUUCUUCUUAAACAAUGUAAUAUAAUAUUUUGUGUAAAUAAUAUAAUUUGUUAGAAAUUUAAUUUAAUAUUCUAUGUAAACAAUUUAAUUUGUAUUAACAAAUAUUUUUUCUCGAUUUUGAUCAUAAAUCGAGAGGUAUGUGACACGAGUUUUGAAAAUAUAAAAAAUGUUUUUGUUGCGGAUCAAAUCAAUAAACAUUUCAAAUAUCUCCUCGACUAUUCAGAAAUUGAGGGGUAAAGGGGAUAAAUUUUUAUAACGUCUUUCGUUACCUGACUUACAUCACCAAAGUAAAUUUUCAUUCGUGUUUGACAUAACAUAUAUUUUUGUUGUAAUGUUGUUUCUAAAGAUGGUGAUUCUGAAGACUUGGUUUUAAAUUUGAUCGUGGUUUUGGUGUCACUCUUGAAAAUCCUUGUUUCUGUUGAUGGUGAUUGAGGUGGCUUGAGUUCUAGAAAGUUUUCAUUAUGGGACGAGGAUUUUGUUGUUAGUAUCUUCUGUUAGCAUGGUAUUUGUGUUCACUUUUUAUUUUUCAGGUUGUUUGUGUAGACCAUCUAGCUAUCUUCUUUGUUUUAGGGACCCCUCACUGGCAUAUAUAAAUACCUUUGUUAUGUAUUUUGUUAGGUUGUUUCCCAUAUCUAUUAUUAUAACAGCGCUUAAAAUAUUAUAGUAAAUCAAAACAUUUAACUGUGGGAGCUUCAAGAUCAUAUUAAAGUGCUAUUGUAAUCCAAAUGUGAUAGUGGAUAAUGAAUAUUUUGAAUUAAACAUUAUAGAUUUUAUUUUAAUUAUUAUUGAAAUACAAAGUAAACAUAGUGAUCCCCUAUAGGGGAUUCGGUUGCAACAAGAUAAGUGAAGACAUCUUUAUUCCUUCUUGGUUAUCAUCACAAACCAAUAAAUACUUAUUCAUCAAGCGCAUGACCUGCAAGCUGCUCAGUGCUU